GAUGAACGCUGGCGGCGUGCCUAAUACAUGCAAGUCGAGCGAACAGACGAGGAGCUUGCUCCUCUGACGUUAGCGGCGGACGGGUGAGUAACACGUGGAUAACCUACCUAUAAGACUGGGAUAACUUCGGGAAACCGGAGCUAAUACCGGAUAAUAUAUUGAACCGCAUGGUUCAAUAGUGAAAGACGGUUUUGCUGUCACUUAUAGAUGGAUCCGCGCCGCAUUAGCUAGUUGGUAAGGUAACGGCUUACCAAGGCGACGAUGCGUAGCCGACCUGAGAGGGUGAUCGGCCACACUGGAGCUUGGACACCGUCCAGGCUCCUACGGGAGGCAGCAGUAGGGAAUCUUCCGCAAUGGGCGGAAGCCUGACGGAGCAGCGCCGCGUGAGUGAUGAAGGUCUUCGGAUCGUAAAACUCUGUUAUUAGGGAAGAACAAAUGUGUAAGUAACUAUGCACGUCUUGACGGUACCUAAUCAGAAAGCCACGGCUAACUACGUG
rnacentral:rRNA from 1 species